rnacentral:rRNA from 1 species
AUGUCGCCGCCGGCUUUGACCACGGCCGCCACCACCAUUGCCAUGGCCGCGGGAACUGUGGAGCUGGUGAGGGGCGCCGUGGAGGCCAUNNNNNNNNNNNNNNNNNNNNNNNNNNNNNNGGACGAGUACGAGAAGCUGUAUGCUACUGACAAGGAAGACCUGGAGCGCAAGAUCGAGCGUUUGGAGGCUCUGGAGGAGAGGCUAAGAGAGGAUAAGGCAGAGCUCCUGCACAAGCUUGAGAUCAUGGAUCACAAAGAAGAUAAGAGGCGUCUCAUCAAAGAUAAAUCUGAGCUUAAGAAGGAGCUGGUGCAAGCCAAAAAUGAGGAGGCCCGGCUCAGGGCCCUGGCGCUCUCUGAAAUCAGGAUCGAGUGCGACCUCUGCAACGAAAAUGUGCUUGCCAAAGACCGUGAGUCCCACAUCGAGAUUCACAGGAAGCAGGAUCUAGGCACCUUCACAAGCAAGAAGUCAAAUGCAGCAGCAGCCCGCCUGUCACGAGCAAAGCAGGGCGGCUAUGUGCCUGAACAAACAAUUGUUUUAUAGAUAGCAACAUCAUAUCAGAACAGGCCAACAUCAAACCUGAAGAACUGAAUGAAUACACGUACAGCAAAGGAAACUGAACAAGAAAAAGAUGUCCAUGGAUCUAUCUGUCUAGAGAGAUAGAGAAGGAGUGGACAGCCUCCAUUCAUUCAUUUCGAGUGGACAGCUUGGGCCAUGUGCACACAUCCCCAAAAGAUGAGCACAUACUUAAAAAGUAAAUAAACCCCACAAGCAAAUGGACGAUUUCAAAGUGCACCAAUCUCUCUGAUAGAACCACGCCUGCACAACGGUUAUUAGACACGUAUAAAUAUUGUUAACUUAUGUAACUUGAUUAAAAAAAUCAAAAUCCUAAGAGAAACACAUACAAAAUUAAUUUGUUGUUAAAAGUCAAAUCAAAUCACAAGCAAAAGUAUCACUUGCAUGUUCUUAUGCUAAAAAAACUCACUCUCAUCUUUGGUACAUGGACUAAAGGAAAACUCUGUUUCUUUUUUUCCUUCUCUUCUUUCCUAAACGAAAUAGACGCACCAAAGAAAAUUUUCAUACUCCAACUAUUUUCCUCUGAUUCUACUACGAGUAAAGAAAUAUGAGAUCAUUUUAGAUCACUAAUCUAAAAUGACUAAUUAAGAUUACUCUAGCAUAGCAUUGGACACCAAGUUUUUUAAUCUUAGCACAUACCCUCAUACCACCUUAGCACCAGUGAAAAGUGGACUAUAACAAUGAAAGCAAAGAAUGUGAGGAUUGGUGCUUAAAGAUUAAAAGGCUUUAGCGACACCGCUAGGCUAAUAAAAUGUAUGGAUUGUUAUAGUUCUCUGUAUUAAUUCGGAUGAUCCAUAAAAGUGGUACUAAGGGGUGUGGAAAAAAAAACUCAUCAAAGAGUGCUUUAUAGGCCACCAAAAGUAAAGGAAUUGCAAGAAGAGGUUUGAGAAAAAAAUUCUUGAAAAAUAAUAGACUGCAUGAAUUCUUGGGAAAAAUCCCAAAGAGUUUGAUAUCCUUUUAGGAAAAAUUCCCACAGAUCCAAACACCCUAAAAACCGUAUUCCGGUGAAUCUUCUGAACAAGGAUUUUUUUUUUUGCUUUGUCAUCCGCUGAUAUACAGAAGAUUAAAAAAAACUAUGCACACAGCUGGGAUAUUCGUUUUGCUCGAUGGAUGGGAAAUAUCUGUAAUAUUGUAACAUAAAAUACAGACAGAUCCAACCUGCAAGCCAAGACAGAAGAAACAUGGCGGUAAACAAGGAUGGAUUCGUGAGAUGCGACUCGUUUUCUUUCUUAGAUUAUAUUAGAGGGGGCCGGGGAUUAGAUUAGAUUAGAUGAAAGAAGAAAGAAGCUAGCCUAGCAGUAGCAGAGGACUCACCCACCCAUGAGACGAACAAGCGCUAGCUGGGGGAGCCCGGCCCGGCCGCCGUGAGAGUCUCCGGGAGCCACCGUACCUUGACCGUGCUGUUUCCCAUCUGGACAUGGAGGGGAGGUACGUUGCCGCCGUCCGGCCAGCGGGCCUGCGCCUCGAUCUGGCGGGGCCAGAUGCCUAGAUCCAUCUCUCUAGCCAUCGCCAUCGCCAUCGCCAUGGGAGAAGGGUGCACGGUGGCAGGGGGUUGGUUGCAAGGAAGGAAGGGUGAGGCCAUCGAUCGAUCCUUCCGUGGUGGCAGGCAGUUGGAAGGAGGAGGCCGGAGAUCUGAGGAGAGGAGCAGGAGAGAGAGGCGGCUAGGCUAGGCUAGGGUUUCCCUUGUUGGAUCCAGGCAGCAGCGAGAAGAUAAGGCGCAUCCAGAUCUGACAACCGAU